UAGUUCUGAGCAUUCAUUUCCUUCUUCACCAGUGGAAUCCUGUUGUUCUUCAGGUAGUCACUGGCUUGAUUUUGGUGUGAGCUAAAUGUUUUUAAAUCAAG
rnacentral:lncRNA from 1 species